rnacentral:rRNA from 1 species
UACGAAGGGGGCUAGCGUUGCUCGGAAUUACUGGGCGUAAAGGGCGCGUAGGCGGCCCUGUUAGUCAGGCGUGAAAGUCCUGGGCUCAACCUGGGAACUGCGCUUGAUACGGCAGAGCUAAAGGAUGGAAGAGGGUCGCGGAAUUCCCAGUGUAGAGGUGAAAUUCGUAGAUAUUGGGAAGAACACCGGUGGCGAAGGCGGCUAUCUGGACCGACAUUGACGCUGAGGCGCGAAAGCGUGGGGAGCAAACAGG